GUGAACUACCGCUGAGCUGAAGACUCAGCAGCUUCUUCGGAAGCUUGAGUCUUCAGUCUGGUCGCUUCGUGAGAAGCUUGAGUUCACCAGACUCAGCCCCAGAAAUGGGAGCUCCGUUCGAGAGGUCAAAACACCUGCGGUUGACGCAUCAGACCGCUGCUCUGUUGCCUGGGUUUAAGAAGGGCUGAGGGAAGGCCCGGUGAUCCAGGCGUAAAAAGCCUCUUGAACGUUGUCGAGAUGAAGAC
rfam:Ktedonobacter sp. 13_2_20CM_53_11 13_2_20cm_scaffold_5800, whole genome shotgun sequence.